UAUAGCGUAUCUCCAAUACAUCAACCACCGUGUGUGUCCUACUCGAAUUACAAAUGAUUAAUUGUUAGUAAAAAUGAUAUUUAUAUCAAUUUUAUUGUUGUUCAUCUGUCGAGAAGUAAGAAAUGUUGAAAUAGAUCCAUCGAAAACAAUAAUUUCGGGUCCAGGAUUGAAACCAGAUAAAAUAACAAUGAGGGCAAGAUAUAUUUUCUUGCAGUUUGUUGAUACAGAAGGAAAAAAUUUAACAGAAUCACCUGGAAAAGAUGUGAUCUCUGUUUCCACGCAAGGGCAAACUUCAACAGGCCAAUUGUGUCAUAUAUGGACCCAAAUUUUAGAUUGCAAAGAUGGGAAUUUCAUUGUUAGAUAUAAAUUACACAGCACAUGCUUCAAUCUAAAAUUAAUAAUAGAAUUAAAACAGCAUAAUUCACCUAUUCUUUCAUUGAAAGCUGAAGGACCAACUUACGAAGAAGAAUGUUAUUGUCCGAACCCUGAUAUUAAUAAUUGGUUGGAUAAUUUUGAAUGUGCAAAAAAUUAUACUCAGAUACAUAACGAUCUUGCUGGUUUUACAAAUGUAGAUUUUGACAAAAUACGUGAAGAUAUUGUAAAAGCGUAUGAUAGGCCUGGAAGUGUCAGUCUCUGUCAUUACGUAGUUAAAUCUAACAAAAUUUUCAGGGAAUGUCAUGGCAAAUACGUAGGCUUCAAAAUAUUCAUGGAUUCCAUUCUGUUGUCUGUCACUCGAAAAGUCAUUUUGCCAGAUAUUGAAUUUUUUGUAAACUUGGGAGACUGGCCGCUUGUUCCAAAAAACAACAAGGAUUACCCUAUCUUUUCUUGGUGCGGCUCUUAUGACUCAAGAGAUAUCGUCAUGCCCACUUAUGACCUUACAGAAUCAUCAUUAGAGGCGAUGGGAAGGGUAAUGUUAGAUAUAUUAUCUGUGCAAGGUAAUACGGAUACACCAUGGGAAAAAAAGAUAGAGAAAGUUUUUUGGCGUGGUCGUGAUUCAUCUAGGGAACGACUUGAUUUGAUUGACAUUUCAAGAAAACAUCCUGAUUUGUUUAAUGCCUCAAUUACAAAUUUCUUUUUCUUUAAAAAUGAAAUGGAUAAAUAUGGCCCUGGGCAAAGCCAUGUAUCUUUCUUUGAUUUUUUUAAGUACAAAUAUCAGUUAAGUAUCGAUGGAUCAGUAGCUGCAUAUAGAGUUCCCUAUCUGCUUGCUGGGGAUGCUUUAGUAUUAAAACAAGAAUCAAAAUAUUAUGAAUAUUUUUACAACGAUCUUGUACCUGGAGAACAUUAUGUGCUAGUUAAAAGUGAUUUGUCGGAUCUGGUGGAGAAGAUCGUGUGGGCCAAAAAUCACGACAAAGACGCACGAGAGAUUGUCAAAUCUGCUAGACAGUUUGUAAGAAAUAAUUUGCUGCCACAGAACGUAUUCUGCUAUCAUGUAGCAUUGUUUUAUGAAUGGAGUAAACGCUUAAAGAGUAAAGUUAAUGUACUAAAUAACAUGGAAGAAGUGCUGCAACCUAAGCAUUCUUGUAAAUGUUAUAAUGACAAUAUAAAAUUUAACGAAGAGCUUUAGCUUUACUAACUUCGUGGAUAUCGUUUAAGUAUCUGCAAAUAGUAGAAGGAAAGAAGACGGAUUUUAAAAUAUUUAAAAAUUACAUUAACUAAUUUCUACUUUACAUAUUGUAAAAAGAAAAGAAAAAAGAAUCGAAUUUUCAAGGAAUAGAUAAGAAGCAAUAUGCAAAUCCAUAAAUUUGUUUAAUGACAAUA